rnacentral:rRNA from 1 species
GACGAACGCUGGCGGCGUGCCUAAUACAUGCAAGUAGAACGCACAGUUUAUACCGUAGCUUGCUACACCAUAGACUGUGAGUUGCGAACGGGUGAGUAACGCGUAGGUAACCUGCCUGGUAGCGGGUGGUGACUAUUGGAAACGAUAGCUAAUACCGCAUAAUAUUAAUUAUUGCAUGAUAAUUGAUUGAUAGGUGCAAUUGCAUCACUACCAGAUGGACCUGCGUUGUAUUAGCUAGUAGGUGAGGUAACGGCUCAACUAGGCGAAGAUACAUAGCCGACCUGAGAGGGGGGUCGGCCCCACUGGGAAUUGGAAACGGGCCAGAAUCCUACGGGAGGCAGUAGUAGGGAAUCUUCGGGAAUGGACGAAAGUCUGAACGAGCAACGCCGCGGGAGUGAAGAAGGUUUUCGGAUCGGAAAGCUCUGUUGUAAGAGAAGAACGGGUGUGAGAGUGGAAAGUGCACACUGUGACGGUAUCUUACCAGAAAGGGACGGCUAACUACGUG